GGGGGCGUUUUUGGGAUUCGACGGGGAUGAUUGUCCUACGAGGAGCGAGCCGAGGGGCUGCGUAUCUCGUUAAAUACGCGGACGCCAAUAAUAACUGGCAAAAACAAUAAUGUUGCUCUAGCUGCCUAAUAGUGUAGCUAGGAUCCACUUCUUCAUCGCCUAUGUGAAGCUGCUGGGUCUCAAACUUUAGUAGGCUAGCCGCUCGAUAGGCCACGAUCGAGUUGGCGAACUUUAGUGGCUGGUCUAAUGAGCAGCCUGUCGCUGGGCGACUUGUUAGACGAGAUAUAAAUCAGCGACUGCGCUCGGAGUGCCUCGUGGGGUGGUGUCUUCGGACAGCGGUUCGACUCCGCUCGCCUCCACCA
rnacentral:tmRNA from 1 species